rnacentral:rRNA from 1 species
UGAGGAAUAUUGCACAAUGGGCGAAAGCCUGAUGCAGCAACGCCGCGUGAGGGACGAAGGCCUUCGGGUCGUAAACCUCUUUUCUGGGGAAAGAGACAGGACGGUACCUCAGGAAUAAGUCUCGGCUAACUACGUGCCAGCAGCCGCGGUAAAACGUAGGAGGCGAGCGUUAUCCGGAUUUACUGGGCGUAAAGCGCACGCAGGCGGUUCCGUUAGUCGGACGUGAAAGCUCCUGGCUUAACUGGGAGAGGCCGUUCGAUACUGCGGGACUUGAGGUUGGAAGAGGGGUGUGGAAUUCCCGGUGUAGUGGUGGAAUGCGUAGAUAUCGGGAGGAACACCUGUGGCGAAAGCGGCACCCUGGUCCACACCUGACGUUGAGGUGCGAAAGCGUGGGUAGCAAACAG